rnacentral:rRNA from 1 species
AACGAACGCUGGCGGCAUGCCUAACACAUGCAAGUCGAACGAGACCUUCGGGUCUAGUGGCUCACGGGGGCGUAACGCGUGGGAAUCUGCCCUUGUGUUCUGAAUAACAGUUGGAAACGACUGCUAAUACCGGAUGAUGACGUAAGUCCAAAGAUUUAUCGCCCAAGGAUGAGCCCGCGUAGGAUUAGCUAGUUGGUGAGGUAAAGGCCCACCAAGGCGAGGAUCCUUAGCUGGUCUGAGAGGAGGAUCAGCCACACUGGGACUGAGACACGGCCCAGACUCGUACGAGAGGCAGCAGUGGGGGAUAUUGGACAAGGGGCGAAAGGCUGAUCCAGCAAUGCCGCGUGAGUGAUGAAGGCCUUAGGGUUGUCAAGCUCUUUUGCCCGGGAUGAUAAUGACAGUACCGGGAGAAUAAGCUCCGGCUAACUCCGUG